rnacentral:lncRNA from 1 species
UUUUCCUUGCAGAGUCUGGCAAUCAUGGCCGCGCUCAGCUGUAAAUUUGGUGCUGAGCCACAUCUAAUCACUGCAUCAAGAAGUUGCAAUGCACUGCCCACCCUGUUGUUCCUGCAAUACCAACUGAUCAUCCUGUUGCAGUCAAUAUUUGAUUUGAAGCCUCUCUCUCAACAAUCUAGUUGCAGAACUCCCACGCUGAAUCAAUGCACUUUCAGCUCCAGCAACCCACAUAUGGCUGUAUUG